UUAACGCAAUUUUGUAUGGAGUUGGAACGUCUGCCUACGUUUGCCGUUAGGGGCGCUGUUCCGACUGCCUACAAUUUGAAUUA
rnacentral:pre_miRNA from 1 species